GCCCAUUCCGAGGGGAGCCCCGUACGGGGCUGAGAAAGCGUCGAGCUGACCCUUGCACCUGAUCCGGGUCAUGCCGGCGUAGGAACGGAAAACCACAUGCAG
rnacentral:ncRNA from 2 species